AACUUAAGCAUAUCAAUAAGCGGAGGAAAAGAAACUAACAAGGAUUCCCCUAGUAACUGCGAGUGAAGCGGGAAGAGCUCAAAUUUAAAAUCUGGCAGUGUAAAAGCUGUCCGAGUUGUAAUUUCGAGAAGUGUUUUCUGUGCCAGACCGUGUACAAGUCUCCUGGAAUGGGGCGUCAUAGAGGGUGAGAAUCCCGUCUUUGACACGGAAUUCAUAUGGUGCUCUGUGAUACACUCUCAAAGAGUCGAGUUGUUUGGGAAUGCAGCUCAAAAUGGGUGGUGAACUCCAUCUAAAGCUAAAUAUUGGCGAGAGACCGAUAGCGAACAAGUACCGUGAGGGAAAGAUGAAAAGCACUUUGGAAAGAGAGUGAAACAGUACGUGAAAUUGCUGAAAGGGAAACGCUUGAAGUCAGUCGCAUUGGCCAGAAUUCAACUGUCAACUCGUUGGCAGUGUAUUUUCUUGGUGAAUGGGCCAGCAUCACUUUUGGCUCGCCGGACAAGGGCAGGAGAAAUGUGGCACUCUUUUAUUAGGGUGUGUUAUAGUCUCCUGUCAUAUACGGUGGCUGGGAGUGAGGACCGCCUUUAUUGUAGGAUGCUGGCGUAAUGGCUUUAAUCGACCCGUCUUGAAACACGGACCAAGGAGUCUAACAUGCAUGCGAGUGUUUGGGUGGUUAAAACUCAUGCGCGCAAUGAAAGUGAACAGUGGGGAAGGCUGUCAUGGCCUGCACCCAUGCCUGGACUUGAGAUUUAUCGACGUUCUACGGUCGAGCAUGUAUGUUGGGACCCGAAAGAUGGUGACUAUGCCUGAUAGGGUGAGCCAGAGAAACUCUGGUGGAGGCUCGUAGCGAUUCUGACGUGCAAAUCGAUCGUCAAUUUGGGUAUAGGG
rnacentral:rRNA from 1 species